rnacentral:lncRNA from 10 species
AGAAGAGACAGGACUGUGAACUGGGGCAGGUGCUUUUCGCACUCUGUAGUCAGAUUCCCGGAGGACACCAUGGUGAGACUGAGCCAGAUGAUGCUGGAGGAUCCGUCCAACUGUGGCAUUGCAGGAUCCCCUGAUUCUAAGCACUUGGAUACCCACCUCCGUCAUCCCCCCACCGUAGAGCCAGAUGGCCGGAGGCAGAAGGAGUGGGCGUGGGGAGGGGGCAGGGCUCCUCUGACUCCCCGCAGGGGCCUCGCCUCACUCUAUCCCUGCUUCUGUUUUGAUGUAUUUGACGGUGGCCACGGUUUCCAGGAAAGAAGAGAGAGGCGGAAAAGUUAACUUUCCGCCACCCACACAAAUAUUUUUGGCCGGCGUUGUCUUCACGCUGCCAAGCCAGGAGGGAGGAGUUGGCAGGAGCACUCCAAUUCAAGGUUCCCUCCCAAGGAGGAAGGAGGACUCCCAACCCAGUCGGGGAGCUUGGGCAGGCCCUAUGCAAGCCUGAGCCCCACAGCACCCACCUCUGUGCAGGAGCUGUGGGGGUCGGGACCCGAAACAAUAAUAGCAGCUGCCACUAACUGAGCACCUGCUAGGUGCUGAACCCAGCCCUUUACCUGACACUCCUGCUGUGUCAGUGCAGUCUAUACAGGAGGAAACUGAGGCACGGAGAGAUUCAUGACCCUCAUCUGGACACAAGCUCUAAAAUACUUGAGCCUUGGCAGAAAUGGCUGAUAGAGUCCACAGAACACGCUGUCCUCAUCUCAGAGAGGAGAACUCUGAACCCAGAGGGGAAGGAUUUACCUGCAGUUGUAUGGCAAGCCAGAGGUAGGCGCUGCACUGGAACGCAGGUACCCAGACCCUUAGACUCUAGCUCCUCACAUAAGCCCUGCUCCCUCUGAGGGGUCAGCCUCCCCUUCUCCCUCCCCUUCACCUCUGCAUGAGUCCAAGCAGGGGCCCCCAGGACCAGAGGACCGGCUGAGCGUCAGGUGCUCCACAGUCUGAGGGCCGGCCAAGACACCCCAGGGCUCCAACUGUUGGCUUCUGCAAUGGCCUUGGGGCCCUGGCAUCCCUUCUGCUGCUGUGUGUGUGGUGGGGGAAGGGCACUGGCUUUGGCAUCAGGUCUGGGUUGGAAUUCUCACCCAGUGGCUGCCUGACCCUGGACAUGUCUCUUAUCUUUCUGAGCUUCACUUUUACUGCCUGCAAAACAAGGCUUAAAACACGAUCCACUUCCCAGGGUGUUUGUAGGGAUUAAUAGAGAAAAUAUAGGCUUAUUCCUUCACCCAGUGGGGAAUGAGGAAGCAUUGCUGUGUGCUGCUCACCUGCUGGGCUCUACAGACGCUUGGUGAGCCUGGCAUUCGGGGCCCCAAGUGCUUGGUGUGCACAGACUGCAAUGAUUAUAAGGCACAGUCCAGCCUCCUUCUGAUUCCCCAUCAUCUGCAGGGUCCCCAUGGGUCAAAAGAGCCUCCCUUGUAAGCUGUAGAAGAAGGGAAAGGGAGUGAGGGGUGCUGAGCAUUAGGGCUUAAGUAGGUGCAUUGCAGAAGUCAGGGCAUGGGGUCCUUGUUUCGACUCUUCCAUUGCCUCACUGAGUCAGGCUGGGGAAAUCACAAGAUCUAAUUUUAUAGGUGGAAGGCUAUAGGGCGGAGAAGGGAGAAGCAGCCCAGGAAGACUAGACCCUCAUUCCUCCAAAGGCCCCACUGCCCAUGGCUCUCUACCUGACCUCCCCACCUGCUGUCUCUUCCUGUUUCCAUCCUAUAGAAAGUCUGAUCCAUUGUCCUAGAGUGUGGCUCUGACUGUGUUGCUCACCUGCUCAAGAGCAUUCCAUGGCUCCUCAUUGCUCACAGAUAAAGCAACACUGCAAAUGCAGGCUCAAAGCCAAAUCUUAUGAUUCUUGGCUGAGGGGAGUGAGGAAAGGUUUCCUGGGGUAAAGAUCAUCCAUCAAGGCCCAGUGAAGGCAAGAAGGCAGGACCACUGGGGAUGACUCUGAAGAACGAGGCGGGCUUGGAUAGGCUGAGGUUAGGGCAUGUAUGGAAGGGCUGAGAAGAUGGCCAGUUUGUGACAGCCUUUGGUUGCCUAGGCUCUCUCCUGCUGGCUGGAGAGACAAAGUAGGGGGGUGGGCAGCCCUACACGGUUGGGGGAAAUGACUGCAAGGCCCAGCUCUGUAGGUUUGGGUUGGAGGCAACAUGGCCAGACCAGCAGGCAUGGGACUGAAAAAAGGGCUGGCUGGCAGGCAGAGGUCCCAGCAAGAGGAGAAUUUUGGAGCAAUUUCUUCAGCAGCUGGCACAGGUCCAGGCACAUAAAGCAACAGGCCAGGACCAGUGGCUCAUGCCUGUAAUCUCAGCACUUUGGGAGGCAAAGGUGAGAUGAUCACCUGAGCCCAGGAGUUUGAGACCAGCCUGAGCAACAUAGUGAGACCCCCGUCUCUACAAAACAUUAAAUAUUAGCCAGGCAUUGUGGCACACACCUGUACUCCCAGCUACUUGAAAGGCUGAGCUGGAGGAGUGCUUGAGCCCAGGAGGUCAAGGCUGCAGUGAGCCAUGAUUGUGCCACUGCACUCCAGCCUGGGUGACAGAGUGAGACCCUGUCUCAGAAAAAAGAAAAAAGAAAAGAAGAACAAAACACAAAACCAGUAACAAUGAUAAUAGCUGAUGUAUAUGGAGUGUUUACUCUGUCAGGUGCUAUUCAGACACUUCAUUUGCAGCAGCUCAUUUGAUCCUCAUCACACCCUAUAAGGAAGGUGCUAUUAUUAUCCCCAUUGUGCAGAUAAGGAAAUGGAGCUGCGAUGACUUGCCAAGCUCACACAGCUAGUGAGCGAUUGAGUCAAGGUUCACAUCCUGAUGGUCUAGCUCCAAAUGUCACUCUUAUCCAUAAGGCUGUACUUUCUCAAUGGUAUAAGUAGUUGCUGAGCGAAAGAAUGAAAAGAUGAACGAAUGAAAGAGAGGAAUGGGAAAUGGAAGGAUGGGAGGGAGGAAGGAGCUUCUCUCUGAUGUCUGGUACAUUGCCUGGCAUAUUGUAGAUGCGUAAUAUAUAUCAAAUGAAACAAUACAUGUGGGGUGGCCAGGAGAUUGACUGUAGGUGUAACCUAGGAGCAAAACGGAGGCAUCCUGAGGAAAAGGUGACUCUGAACGGGUUCAGAUGGCUCAGGUGCACCUGCCCACCAGAUUCCUGUCUGGAAGCACCCUCAGCACCAGUCUAGGGUAGGGGAACUGUCUGGUCUAUCCAGAGCUAAGUUCUCCCUGACAACAGGAAGAAAGCUUUUGUUGUCCUUGCGAACCUGACCUAUGUUCCUGCCUUAGUGUUUCUCUCCCAAAGAGGGGAUGAGAUCCAAGGUUGGGGGUUUCUUCCUCAUGGCUCCAAAGGCGGGGAAUUCCAAGCCCUUCCAACCUCCAGAGCUAGUAAGCAUGAGAAACCCCAGCAUUUUCCAUUACCUUGCUCUGCAUUCUUGGAAGAAUCACUUUCUUUUACCAGGCCUCAGUUUCUCCAGCUGAGAAAGGCCUUGAGCAAAGUGGUUAGUGGGAGCGGUAGCAGCAAGGUUGCUGCUACACCUGAAUUCUCCUUGGCCUUGCCCAUUUCCAGUGUUUUCCAGUUGGGGUAGUCAGUCCCAGAGGGAUGUCCACCAUGAUCCCACGGUCCCGAUCCCUUCUUCUAGUCCUUCAGGACAGACUGACCAAUCUUGGCAUCCUUCCUCCCUUCCUCAGCGGCCAUCAGUAUCAACCAUCCCAACCGCCCAGCCUACUCUGACCCCUUCUCCUUCCUCCCUAGUCCUCCCUCCAUUUCUGCCCACCUCCUGGGGCAGAAGGGACCAGUGUUGGAUGGGCAUGAGGUGGAGCUGGGGGGAGCCCCAGGAGCCAUAGGAAACCAGCCCUUGGCACGAGGUAGUGGUGAGAGGUUGGGAAGAACUUCCAGCUGGGCACACUGGGUGGUCUCAGGAGAGAUAAGGCUUCAGUUCAGCCUCAGAAUAGUGGGUAACUUCAGAUGAGUCCCUGCAUCUUACUGAAUUUCAGGUGCCCUCCUGGUAGAAUGGAGACUCAGUCAUUCAUUUACUCAUUUGUUCACUCAAUGCAUAUUCACAGAACGCCUGCUAAGUGCCAUCACUAUUUUAAGUGCUGGCAGUACACAGUGAACAAAAGAGAAAGAAACUCUGCCCACGUGAAGCUCACAUGUUAGCUGGGGUGGACAGAUAAAUAAAUAAGAAAGUAUGUCAGAUGGUGUUAAAUACGAUGGAAAAAUAAGCCAGAAAGGCGGCCUGGGAGUGCUACGUGUCAUUAAGAUAAAGAAACUGCUAUGAACAUAACAAAUCUUAACAGAUGCCAUUCCGUGUUUUGUAUAGCAUAUGCAUUUCAAGUUCACUAUUAUGUUAAAUCCUCAUAUGCAAUUAUAAAAAAAACACAAACCAACAUUAGGUGACAAACUUAGAAACAUAAGCCCUACAAACCCUUGGGAGACAUAUUUCUUAGGCUAAUAUUCUGAUUAUUCAAUUGUUCACCAUUUUAGAACCUUCCUAUUCCAUUCUGAAUAUGUCUACUAUUUAGAAAUGAGUAUUUUUUGUAAUCUUGUAUAUAAAAAAUAAGAUUUCAUAUGUUAGCAUUCUUUUUUUGGAACAUUCUUUUCCAAGUUCGUUAUUGGUAGAGCAUCUCCUCACUGUAAAACACAUGAUAUGCAAUGAGUUUGAGGACAAUAAUAAUGAUAUCAUAUUGCUGUGAGGAUUAAAUAAGGUAACCUGUGUACAUGCUCAAUAGAAACAGCUGUUGUUAUUAUAAUUAUUGUUUUUGUGAAGUGGUGACUGAGGGCAUUACAAGAGCUACCACGUAUUGAAUAUUGAGCAUGUGCUGGGCACUGUAUCAAUCUUGUUUCUUGUUUCUUCCUCACAAUAACAUUAUGAGGCAGGCACCUACUGUUAUCCCUCAGUUAACAGAUUGAGGAAGCAGAGGCUCACAGAGGGUGAGUCUGUGCCCAUGAUCCCAGAGCAGGAAAAUGACCAAGCUGGAACCUGACCGGUGUCUGUGGCCUGGCGUGGUCACUGGAGGUUUUCUGAGGGUCUGGGGAGAGGCCAUUUCACACAGCACAGAGUCCUUUGUUCUGGCUCUGGCUCUGCCGUGCCUGUGACUGUGGCCACAUGCCUCCACUCUUGGGCUUUGGUGACCUCCCUGCACAAUGACAAGCCUGGGCCUGGGGUCUCAAAAUGCUCUUCCAGCUUUAGACUGCCUGUGGAACUCAGCACCCAGGAUGCUGGGGCACUCAAGCCUGUUCCAAGUGGACUCACUGAAGCCAGCCUGCUCACAGAACCAGCCAAGUCCCCAGUACGUCACAUCUAUUUCUGCCCUGCUGGGUUUAUAAAUACAUGGGCCAGGGAACCAGCUUCAGAGGAACUGGGGAGACUGAAGUCAUGGCUAUAAAUACGGGGCUGAGACUGGCUGAGGUCAGGCAGGGGUGUGGCAGGGCAGAGGCCACUCUGCACAAAGUCCAGUCUCCCUUGGCCACACCAGAAAAUGGGGGCUCAGAUGGGGAGGGACUUGCCCAAGGCUACGCAGUCAGCAGAUGGGGAGAGGGCUGGCACACAGGGCCCUGGCUCUGAGACUGCUCCACACUGCCCCCCCCCGCCACAUUCACAGUGCCCCCUCACCCUGUCCCCCAGUUUAAACAAGAGACUGAGACGGAUACUAUGAUUUCGGUUUCUAUAGUAAACUUAUGCUGAUAACAUACUGCUUUUUAUCUGUUGCAUACAUUGGGGCUCCCAAAUAUUGCAUUGCAGAAAGGGUUCAAGGACUAAAAAUUCAGAAAAUGCCUAACCAGCCAGGCAUGAUGGCUCACGCCGAUAAUCCCAGCAUUUUGGGAGGGCGAGGUGGGCAGAUCACCUGAGGUCAGGAGUUCGAGACCAGCCUGGCCAACAUGGUGAAACCCCAUUUCUACUAAAAAUACAAAAAUUAGCUGGGCGUGGUGGUGCAUGCCUGUAAUCCCAGCUACUCGGGAGGCUGAGGCAGGAGAAUUGCUUGAACCCGGCAGGUGGAGGUUGCAGUGAGCCGAGAUAGAGCCAUUGCACUCCAGCCUGGGCGACAAGAGUGAAACUCCAUCUCAAAAAAUUAAAAAAAUUAAAAAUAAAAAUAGAAAAUGCUUAACCAUGCCUACCAAAUGGGAUCCCUUCUUCUCCAUGCCAAGUGGCCCAGCUGUGUGCUGAAGCCAGCCACACUGUCUCAACAGCCAAUGCACCCUUUCCCAGCUCUGCAUUCAGGGACAUUGUCAAUGGCUUAAAAUGGGCCACGGUGGGAGUAGUUACACCACAGAAACUGGCAGGUGCUACAAAUCAAAGCUUUUUUUUCUCCAGAGAGCAAGUUGUUAGACAUUUAUCCACACACCGCUGGUUAAAACCAUGACUAGUGAAUCCCUAUCAUACCCAUUUCCUGACUGUCUGAACUUGCCCCGGUUACUUUACUUCUGUGAGCCUCCAAUCUUUCAUCUGUGGAGUGGGAACCCUAACCACGCCUGCAUCAUAGCAACUGUGAGGGCUACCGGAGCUGGUGCCCCUAAGGGUUAGCAUGGCAAUUCCCAAACUUGUCCACCUCAUCAGAAUCACCUGAGGAUCUUUUAUACAUUCCAAAGCUCUGGCCACACCCCAGACAAAUUAAAUCACAGCUUCUGGGGGUAGGACCUGGGAUCAGCGUAUUUUGAAGCUUCGCAGGUUGUUCCUAUGCGCAGGUAGGUUUGGGAACCCUCACUCUUUGCAAGCACUAUGUAGAUGCCCAGAGAUCAUACAGGGAUGGGGAAAGUGCAGACCCCACAUCACUGCUCCAUUGUUUAACUCCUGGGGUUUCAGGAAAAAAAAAAUGUAUUAAAAAUAGUGGGUUUUAUUCAUUUGUUUUUUCUGUUUAAAAGCCUAACCAGCCUAAAGAAACCAUGGGAGGAGAGGCUCUUACCCUCUCCUUUGCAGAUGUGGGCCCGGCUGCCUCACACUCCAGAGCAGAUGGGCCACAGGCUUAUAGGUCCCAAGGAAGCUUCACUUCAUGUGGUACCCAGCUGGCCAGCCAGGAAGAUGGAGGGGCUUCUGGCUGGCCUCUCUUCCUCUCCUAGAAAGUCAUGCUGGCCCUUUUGGGUCCAUGGGCCAAAGGUUCAUGAAGGUGGCUCUGCCUGUGAGACAUCAAGCUCCUGGGUUGAAGGACUUGGAUUAAGAAGAGUGACAUCAGUGCACAGUUUAUGCCAAGGGCUUGGGGCCUCAGUCCAGCUUCUUCCUGGACCACCACCAACAACAACCAGUGAUAAAAAUAAUUAUACUAGUGGCUGACAUUUAUGGAUUCUUCCUACACACUAGGCUAUACCACAGCGAGUGCCUCGAAAGGAAAUAUAGUAUAGCACUGUGCCGUCCAACAUGGCGGCCACUAGCCACAUGCACUACUGAGCACUUGAAAUGUGGCUAGCCCACAUUGAGAUGUGCUGUAAAUAAAGAAUAGACACCAGAUUUCCAAGACUUAGUACCAAAAAAAGAAUGUAAAAUUUCUCAUUAACAAGUUUUUUUCUUACAUUUAUUACAUGUUAACAUGACGCUAUUUGGAGUUUAAAUAAAUGCAUUAUUAAAAUUGAUUUCAUGGGCUUCUUUUUUCCACCUUUUUUUUUUUAACUUUUUAGUGUACCUGCUAGAUAAUGUAAUAUUACAUCUGUGCUCGCAUUACGUUUCAGGGGACAGUGCUGGCAUUGCAGUCAGGAGGGCUGGUCUCCACUGCCAUACUCCAGCACUGCAUUCUGCCACGUACCAGCUGUGAGACCUGGGUCAAGUUAUAUCACCCUCUGUUCCUCAGUUUCUUCAUCUGUAAAACUAGAAUAAUAAUAGUACCUACCUCUCAUUUAAAUGUGCUUGGCAAAGAAAGUCUUCAAUAAAGAUCAGCUAUCCUGGCA